UGUUUGAUGUUCUAACGUGGACCCGUGAUCCGGGUUGCGGACAGUGUCUGGUGGGUAGUUUGACUGGGGCGGUCUCCUCCUAAAGAGUAACGGAGGAGCACGAAGGUUGGCUAAUCCUGGUCGGACAUCAGGAGGUUAGUGCAAUGGCAUAAGCCAGCUUGACUGCGAGCGUGACGGCGCGAGCAGGUGCGAAAGCAGGUCAUAGUGAUCCGGUGGUUCUGAAUGGAAGGGCCAUCGCUCAACGGAUAAAAGGUACUCCGGGGAUAACAGGCUGAUACCGCCCAAGAGUUCAUAUCGACGGCGGUGUUUGGCACCUCGAUGUCGGCUCAUCACAUCCUGGGGCUGAAGUAGGUCCCAAGGGUAUGGCUGUUCGCCAUUUAAAGUGGUACGCGAGCUGGGUUUAGAACGUCGUGAGACAGUUCGGUCCCUAUCUGCCGUGGGCGCUGGAGAACUGAGGGGGGCUGCUCCUAGUACGAGAGGACCGGAGUGGACGCAUCACUGGUGUUCGGGUUGUCAUGCCAAUGGCACUGCCCGGUAGCUAAAUGCGGAAGAGA
rnacentral:rRNA from 1 species